UACGGGGGGAGCAAGCGUUGUUCGGAUUUACUGGGCGUAAAGGGCGCGUAGGCGGUCGUAACAAGUCACUUGUGAAAUCUCCUGGCUUAACUCGGAACGGUCAAGUGAUACUGUCGGACUAGAGUACAGAAGGGGCAACUGGAAUUCUCGGUGUAGCGGUGAAAUGCGUAGAUAUCAGGAGGAACACCGAUGGCGAAGGCAGGUCUCUGGGCAUUAACUGACGCUGAGGAGCGAAAGCAUGGGGAGCGAACAGG
rnacentral:rRNA from 1 species